CCCCGUUUGGUAUAGUGGUUAUUGCGUUUGUCUUCAAACUCUAUGAACGCGGGUUCAAUCCUCGAUUCGGACG